rnacentral:rRNA from 1 species
AUGGCGCUCUCCGACCUUUCCCGCGACUCGCUCCUCCCCAGCUUCCUCUACUCCCCGCGCUCCUUCGCUGCCGCCUCCCCGCGCUUCCCCUCCUCCCCGUCACCCUACCAGGCGCCCGCCUCGCCCGCCGCGGCCCCGGCCGCCGUCCUCGUCGGUGCUGGCGGGGUCGGAGGCGGCAGGCCCUUCUCGGUCCGUGCGCCCAACAAGAAGAUCAUCAUGUACUCGCCGGUCUUCUGCGCCGCCUGCACCACCGGGGGGAUCGGCAGCUGCGGGCUCACCCACAUGGCCAUCACCCCGCUCGACCUCGUCAAGUGCAACAUGUAG